AAAUAAUUAAUUUCUCAAAAUUUAGAGACUAAAAAUAUAAUAUAGGGUAAAACUCAAUGAUCAAAUUAUAAAUUCCCCAUAAUGUAAUUUAAUCACAUCCUAUUCAUCUUAUAAUUAAUUAACUGUAAAUAAAAUGUCAUAAUCAACUUUCUUUUUUUCCUCUUCUUUUGAAUGAGAUAAGAUCAGCAAACUACCAGAAUGUUUCUGGUGGAGACAUAUCGUGGACUUUGGUAGACCUAGACUUAUUGUUUAUAAUUUUCUCUAUUAUUUAUAAAUUUUUUAAUUUUAAAAUAAUAUAAAUUAUAAAAUUUAAAAAUAAAAAAAGAAGAAAACCCAUUUUCAGGUUUAUGAAUUUUAUUUUUGAAAAUAAUUUUUCAAGUAUUAUUUUUUUUAAUCUAUUUAAUGAAUAAGUGAUGAUUAAAGAAGUGGAGGAAAUUGCUAACCU
rnacentral:misc_RNA from 1 species